AUUAAGUGCAUGUGGUGGAUGCCUUGGCAGUCAGAGGCGAUGAAAGACGUGAUAGCCUGCGAAAAGCUCCGGGGAGGCGGCAAAUAUCCUUUGAUCCGGAGAUGUCUGAAUGGGGGAACCCACCUACUUUAAGGUAGGUAUUGCAACAUGAAUACAUAGUGUUGCAAGGCGAACGAGGGGAAGUGAAACAUCUCAGUACCCUUAGGAAAAGAAAUCAAUUGAGAUUCCCUCAGUAGCGGCGAGCGAACGGGGAUCAGCCCAUUAAGUUAUGUGUGUUUUAGUGGAACGCUCUGGGAAGUGCGAACGUAGAGGGUGAUAUUCCCGUACACGAAAGGGCACACAUAAUGAUGACGAGUAGGGCGAGGCACGUGAAACCUUGUCUGAAUAUGGGGGGACCAUCCUCCAAGGCUAAAUACUCCUGACUGACCGAUAGUGAACCAGUACCGUGAGGGAAAGGCGAAAAGAACCCCUGUGAGGGGAGUGAAAUAGAUCCUGAAACCGCAUGCAUACAAGCAGUGGGAGCACCUUCGUGGUGUGACUGCGUACCUUUUGUAUAAUGGGUCAGCGACUUAUAUUCAGUAGCGAGGUUAACCGUAUAGGGGAGCCGUAGAGAAAUCGAGUCUUAAUAGGGCGUUUAGUUGCUGGGUAUAGACCCGAAACCAGGCGAUCUAUCCAUGAGCAGGUUGAAGGUUGGGUAACACUAACUGGAGGACCGAACCCACUGUCGUUGAAAAGCCAGGGGAUGACUUGUGGAUAGGGGUGAAAGGCUAAUCAAGCCUGGUGAUAGCUGGUUCUCCCCGAAAGCUAUUUAGGUAGCGCCUCGGACGAAUACCAUAGGGGGUAGAGCACUGUUUCGGCUAGGGGGUCAUCCCGACUUACCAAACCGAUGCAAACUCCGAAUACCUAUGAGUACUAUCCGGGAGACAGACUGCGGGUGCUAACGUCCGUAGUCAAGAGGAAAACAAUCCAGACCGCCAGCUAAGGCCCCAAAAUCAUAGUUAAGUGGGAAACGAUGUGGGAAGGCAUAGACAGCUAGGAGGUUGGCUUAGAAGCAGCCACCCUUUAAAGAAAGCGUAAUAGCUCACUAGUCGAGUCGGCCUGCGCGGAAGAUGUAACGGGGCUAAAACUAUGUGCCGAAGCUGCGGAUGUAUACUUUGUAUACGUGGUAGGGGAGCGUUCUGUAAGCCGAUGAAGGUGUGUUGAGAAGCAUGCUGGAGGUAUCAGAAGUGCGAAUGCUGACGUGAGUAACGACAAAACGGGUGAAAAACCCGUUCGCCGAAAGACCAAGGGUUCCAGUCCAACGUUAAUCGGGGCUGGGUGAGUCGACCCCUAAGGCGAGGCCGAAAGGCGUAGUCGAUGGGAAAAUGGUUAAUAUUCCAUUACUUCUGUGUAAUGCGAUGAGAGGACGGAGAAGGCUAAAUCAGCCUGGCGUUGGUUGUCCAGGUGAAAGGAUGUAGGCAUGUAUCUUAGGCAAAUCCGGGGUACUCUAUGCUGAGAUCUGAUAGCAAGCUGUACUUGUACAGCGAAGUGGUUGAUGCCAUGCUUCCAGGAAAAGUCUCUAAGCUUCAGUUACACAGGAAUCGUACCCGAAACCGACACAGGUGGUCAGGUCGAGUAGACCAAGGCGCUUGAGAGAACUCUGCUGAAGGAACUAGGCAAAAUGGUACCGUAACUUCGGGAGAAGGUACGCUGUUGUUGGUGAUGGAACUCGCUUCCUGAGCUGACGACAGCCGCAGAAACCAGGCCGCUGCAACUGUUUAUUAAAAACAUAGCACUCUGCAAACACGAAAGUGGACGUAUAGGGUGUGAUGCCUGCCCGGUGCUGGAAGGUUAAUUGAUGGGGUUAGCGUAAGCGAAGCUCUUGAUCGAAGCCCCAGUAAACGGCGGCCGUAACUAUAACGGUCCUAAGGUAGCGAAAUUCCUUGUCGGGUAAGUUCCGACCUGCACGAAUGGCAUAAUGAUGGCGGCGCUGUCUCCAGCAGAGGCUCAGUGAAAUCGAAAUCGCUGUGAAGAUGCAGUGUACCCGCGGCUAGACGGAAAGACCCCGUGAACCUUUACUGCAGCUUGACACUGAACUUUGACCUUACUUGUGUAGGAUAGGUGGGAGGCUUUGAAGCUGGAACGCUAGUUCCAGUGGAGCCGUCCUUGAAAUACCACCCUGGUAAUGUUGAGGUUCUAACUCUGUCCCGUGAUCCGGGACGAGGACCGUGUCUGGUGGGUAGUUUGACUGGGGCGGUCUCCUCCUAAAGAGUAACGGAGGAGUACGAAGGUGCGCUCAGCGUGGUCGGAAAUCACGCGUAGAGUAUAAAGGCAAAAGCGCGCUUAACUGCGAGACCCACAAGUCGAGCAGGUACGAAAGUAGGUCUUAGUGAUCCGGUGGUUCUGUAUGGAAGGGCCAUCGCUCAACGGAUAAAAGGUACUCUGGGGAUAACAGGCUGAUACCGCCCAAGAGUUCAUAUCGACGGCGGUGUUUGGCACCUCGAUGUCGGCUCAUCUCAUCCUGGGGCUGAAGCAGGUCCCAAGGGUAUGGCUGUUCGCCAUUUAAAGAGGUACGCGAGCUGGGUUUAGAACGUCGUGAGACAGUUCGGUCCCUAUCUACCGUGGGCGCUGGAAAUUUGAGAGGAUCUGCUCCUAGUACGAGAGGACCAGAGUGGACGAACCUCUGGUGUACCGGUUGUGACGCCAGUCGCAUCGCCGGGUAGCUAUGUUCGGAAGGGAUAACCGCUGAAAGCAUCUAAGCGGGAAGCCUACCUCAAGAUAAGAUUUCCCUAGGACUUUAUGUCCUCUAAAGAGCCGUUCGAGACUAGGACGUUGAUAGGUUGGAUGUGGAAGCAUAGUGAUAUGUGAAGCUGACCAAUACUAAUUGCUCGUGAGGCUUGACUAUACAACACCCAAGCAGUUG
rnacentral:rRNA from 1 species